rfam:Schistosoma curassoni strain Dakar, Senegal genome assembly, scaffold: SCTD_scaffold0003027
AUCCAGCUGACGGGUCCUAAAUAGGAAAAAACGCGCGUCCUGGAU